rnacentral:rRNA from 1 species
UACGUAGGGUGCAAGCUUUAAUCGGAAUUACUGGGCGUAAAGCGUGCGCAGGCGGUUUUGCAAGACCGAUGUGAAAUCCCCGGGCUUAACCUGGGAAUGGCAUUGGUGACUGCACGGCUAGAGUGUGUCAGAGGGGGGUAGAAUUCCACGUGUAGCAGUGAAAUGCGUAGAGAUGUGGAGGAAUACCGAUGGCGAAGGCAGCCCCCUGGGAUAACACUGACGCUCAUGCACGAAAGCGUGGGGAGCAAACAGG